rnacentral:rRNA from 1 species
AUAAGCGGAGGACAAGAAACCAACAGGGAUUACCUCAGUAACGGCGAGUGAAGCGGUAAAAGCUCAAAUUUGAAAGCUAGCUCUUCUAGGGUUCGCAUUGUAAUUUGUAGAAGAUGCUUCGGGUGUGGCCCCGGUCUAAGUUCCUUGGAACAGGACGUCAUAGAGGGUGAGAAUCCCGUACGUGACUGGGGUGCCUCCGCCUAUGUGAAGCUCUUUCGACGAGUCGAGUUGUUUGGGAAUGCAGCUCAAAAUGGGUGGUAAAUUUCAUCUAAAGCUAAAUAUUGGCCAGAGACCGAUAGCGCACAAGUAGAGUGAUCGAAAGAUGAAAAGCACUUUGGAAAGAGAGUUAAACAGUACGUGAAAUUGUUGAAAGGGAAGCGCUUGCAACUAGACUUGCGCGCUGAUGAUCAUCCGGGCUUCUGCCCGGUGUACUCGUCUGCACGCAGGCCAGCAUCGGUUUCGGUGGUGGGAUAAAGGCCUUGGGAAUGUAGCUCCUCUCGGGGAGUGUUAUAGCCCUCGGUGUAAUGCCGCCUACCGGGACCGAGGACCGCGCUUCGGCUAGGAUGCUGGCGUAAUGGUUGUAAGCGACCCGUCUUGAAACACGGACCAAGGAGUCUAACAUUUAUGCGAGUGUUUGGGUGUUUAAACCCAUACGCGGAAUGAAAGUGAACGGAGGUGAGAACCCUUCAGGGUGCAUCAUCGACCGAUCCUGAUGUCUUCGGAUGGAUUUGAGUAAGAGCAUAGCUGUUGGGACCCGAAAGAUGGUGAACUAUGCGUGAAUAGGGUGAAGCCAAAGGAAACUCUGGUGGAGGCUCGCAGCGGUUCUGACGUGCAAAUCGAUCGUCAAAUUUGCGUAUAGGGGCGAAAGACUAAUCGAACCAUCCGUAUGGCGCUCUUUCUUCGGAAAUGAAAUACUCUCUGCUGCUAGGUGGUUAAGAGGUGACAAAAAUAGUACACCUAGUCCUAUGUCAUAGGGCGACAUUAUCAAAUUGUUCGGGGAAGUCCUGUUAAUUCGAGGCUACCGCUACCUACUGAAAGGAUAGGUGUGCACCAGGGUAAUGACCUCGGGUAUGGUAAUAACGCUUCGAUAGGGACAACCCGCAGCCAAACCCUAAGGGCGUAUGCCUAUGGGCGCAGUUCACAGACUAGAUGGUAGUGGGCUUCGGAAGAAGUUUAAGUUAUAGUCGAGCCACCGGGAGACCGGGUAAUAGGAGUGGAUGUACGCUGAUGACAACCGUAAGGGCAGUCGUACUGAGAGCCUAUUGGGAAUACCGUAUGGCAAUGAAUAGGGGGUUUAGAGCCUAAAGGUCAUUCCGGGGAGCAGUAUCUACAUGUUACUGUGGUUCUUGAAAGGUACGUGGUCAGCUGGACCGUCUAUAGAGAAGCAGUGGGAUUGUGGGUACGCUCGGAAUGCUAGUAGCUGU